rnacentral:misc_RNA from 1 species
CCCUCCCCUAAAUCACUCCAAAAAACAAUCCCCAAUUCUACACAAGUGUUUCUACACUAACAAAGCAACAGCUCCUUAACGAAUUCCCAACUUUACACGAGCUCGUCUCUCGAGGUUAAAUGUUAUUACUUGGUAAGAUUCCGGACCUCGCCAAGUGUUUUGAAAACCCGCAACGCUCGCAAAGGUGCAUAGUGAGAAUAAUAAGUGAAGAGACAGACUUGUCCAAAACGCCCACCACGAAGGUGCAUAGUGAGAAGAGUAAGUCAAGAGAUAGACUUGUCCAAAAAGAAACGGAAGAGAAAGCUUGGGGAGACGCUCACGAAGGUGCAUAGUGAGAAGAGUAAGUCAAGAGAUAGACUUGUUCAAAAAGAAACAGAAGAGAAUGCUUGGGGUUACACUCACGAAGGUGCAUAGUGAGAAGAGUAAGUCAAGAGACAGACUUGUUCAAAAAGAAACAAAAGAGAAUGCUUGGGGAGAUAGAAGUGUGAGAUAGUUCUCAAGCUAAGAAAGUUGUAAAAGCUAAGAACUAGCAAGUAAUCGUCCAGGAUUCCUCCACCAGGACUUGAAAUCGUCGAGGGAAAAAAAUCGGUUCCGAGGAAUCGUCGAUCCGGACUUGGAAUCGUCGAGAAAAGUUUACCGGGUCCGAGGAUUUGUCGACCAGGAGUGGAAAUCGUCGAGAAAAAUCUAUCGGGUCCGAGGAAUCGUCGACCAGGACGAGGAAUCGUCGACAGGGUCCGAGGAUUUGUCGACCAGGGGUUGAAAUCGUCGACCAGGUCCGAGACUUCAUCGAC